AUGGCGGCUGAAUCAAGUUCACAGGGACGGCAGGGGAAGGAGACGACGGAGGAGCUGCUUGCCAGGCUGAAUCCGCAGGAGGAGGAAGACGACGGUUUUGUGUGGGAGGAGGAAUUGCCGGACUUGGAGGCGCCGGCAAAGUGGCUGGCUAUAGCCAGAGUUCACACUUCCAAGACCUUUAGCCCUAAUGCUCUGUAUGGGGACAUGCGUGCCGCAUGGAACCCAGCAAAACCGGUGGUGUGGAGGAAGAUCAAGGACAAUCUGUUCAUAGCUCAGUUUGGAUGUCUAGGGGACUGGAACAAGGCCAUGGUUGAGGGUCCCUGGCUGUUUAGAGAUCAGGCGGUUAUUAUGGUGGAAUAUGAUGGCUUUAGAAAUCCUGAUAGUAUCAUCCUGGACAAGCUGGCAGUAUGGGCGCAGAUCCAUAGGCUGCCUGACAAUUUUCUUAUCGAACCAGCAGUCAGGGGGAUGGCAUCACGGAUUGGAGAGGUCGAGGAAGUCUAG
rnacentral:rRNA from 1 species